GAUGAAGAACGCAGCGAAAUGCGAUAAGUAAUGUUAAUUGCAGAAUUCAGUGAAUCAUCGAAUCUUUGAACGCACAUUGCGCCCGCCAGUAUUCUGGCGGGCAUGCCUGUUCGAGCGUCAUUUCAACCAUCAAGCCCCAGGCUUGUGUUGGAGCCCUGCGGCUGCCGCAGCCUCCCAAAACCAGUGGCGGGCUCGCUAUCACACCGAGUGCAGUAGUUUACUCUUCGCUCAGGGCGUGUGGCGGGUGCUAGCCGUAAAACCCCCAACUUCUCAAGGUUGACCUCGGAUCAGGUAGGAAUACCCGCUGAACUUAAGCAUAUCAAUAAGCGGAGGA
rnacentral:misc_RNA from 1 species